rnacentral:rRNA from 1 species
AUGUCCAAAGUUUUGGAAAGAAGAAAUUCAUUUGGUACCACCACUCCUACGAGUUCAGCUUCAGCUUCAGAUUCGAAAAAGAAUGAGAAGACGGUAUCACGCUAUCUAAGACCUUCUACAGGCUCAUGUCAUGAUUUAUGCAAGCAUGGACACAGGAAUCCUUCUGAAGAAAAGCUUCUGCUUUCAGGGGGGAGAAGAAAGAAACUUCCAACUCAUUCAAAUAAUUUGACACUGCAUGGGUCAGUUAUCUUAGAUGCACCCAAGGAUGUCAGGAACAGAAGAAAUAUUUCACUAGUCAAGUCGAGUAUAUCACUGGGUGAAGCUGAUCGUGUUGUUAACAAGAUAAAAUCAGAAAAUUUAAGAGGCGCUGCAUCAUCAGAACACUUGGUUCCACGCAUCGCUUCAUCAGCAGAUCAUAAAAACGUGAACUCUGAUGGCAGAAAGAAACAUCCAAUGGUUACCCAGAGGACUUUGGCUAAUCCAAGGUAUUCCAGUGGAGUACCCAAUUUUGAUAAAAAAGCAGCAAUGCCAGUCAAGGGUUCAAAGUUGCCAGAGAAGACACUGCAGGAAAAAGCUAGAACUGUGGAGAAGGCCACUACUCUCAAGCAACCGUUAGUUAAGAAACCAGCUUCACUUCCUACUAAACUGAACUUGAUUAAGAAAGUUCCUGUGUCAUCUCAGGCUUCUAAUAAUCUUGUAUCUUCAAGAGAUAAAAGUACUCUGAAAGGAAAGGUUCCUUCUUCACCAGCAAUUAUUACUGGCAAGCGUACAAGCAAUACUGGUAAAACUAUGAGGUCCAGCAAUGCAAGUAUCAAUUGCAAGGAACGCUCAGAUGUGCCCAGAACACCAUUCUCCAUUGAAGAUGAGUUUAUUGCAUCUGUUGAAUUACAAGAAGGUGAUGUGGAGUCAACAGUAGUGGAGCUGUUUCCAGAUGCCACAGAAUAUGGAGACAUAUCUGAAACAGCACCAAAAGAAGAAAGCAGAAUCGGUUCAGAGGAUGGCUUGGAUAUGUCUGAAAUAUCGUCUUCUGUCCAGUCUGAGUUGACUGCUUCUGUUGAAACAGAUGAAGAUGAUGUGCAAGGUUCAUCUAUUACAGGCCAUCUUGUGGAGUCAGCGCUAGCAGAAAUGUCUUCACAUGCCACAGAAUAUGUAGAAGAAUCUCAACCAGCACCAAAAGAAACAAGUAGAUUCAGUUUAGAGGAUGGUGUGGUGGAAAGUAAUGAAGUGAGUGAACCAUUGGUCUCUGAACUCCCCGUUGCUGCUGAAUUGCAGCUAUCAUUUGAUAAUCAAGAACUCAAGACUAUGCUCAGUAAACCGGAUCUAGAGCAUAUGCAACCAGAGAAAAAUUCCACUAAUGGUCGAGCUUCAACGGAUGAAGACAUCCGAACAGAUGAUGCAGCUCUCUGCCAGCUACCCAAACAAUUAACAGCUGUGCAAAAUGCAGAUGUAUAUGAUUCUGCAUUAACUGAAAGUAGCUCGGGAAUGGAAGCUGAUCGAGUGAAAGUCAGUGCUAGUGUGGAGUCUGUAAUCACUGAAAAUAAGGAGGACAUGGGUGCUCAUGAAGACCUUCAAGGACCUCCAGAACUGUGGGCAGUUGAUGAAAAACAUGCUGAGGAUCCUGAGUAUUGCCUCGAUUGCACUACAGGAAAUGUAGCUGAAAAUGUCGAGGCUGCUGAAAUUGACGAUGUUGGGAAUAUUAAUAGUACAUCUCAUUGCCAAUCAAUUUUAGAAACUUCAUCCGAUGGUGAACUUCUGGAGCAAUCAGAGCCUGUGCCAAUUGAUUCUAAUCUACAAACCGAUGAGUUAGCAAGUGUCCAUAACAAUGACACCUCUGAACAGGAUGAACUGAAAUCAAUGAUUGUUGCUCAACAGUUAGUGGAAGAACUAUCAGAUGAUGAGAAUUAUGAAGAAUAUGAUUAUGAGUUAAUUGAAUUAGAUGACUUUGAUGCAGAAGAUGAAGGAGAAGCAAUCAACCCAAAUGAUGAAUCUUCAAAGGCUAAAGGCCAAAGGCUGCAAAGGAUCUCAUCACUUCACCCAGAUGAUGCUAGUACCACACCUUACAAAUUGAAGUUUAAAAGGGGUAAAAUUGUAGAACUCACACCAGACAGUAAUGGCCCGAGAAGACUCGUAUUUAGAAGAAGAGCUGCCAAUGAAGUUGCAAAUGGUGAAGGUCAGCUAGUGAGAAGGAUUUAUAAGAGGAAUACCAGAAAUAAUGGUGUUCCUACUGAGCCUGACUUGGAAUCUCCUUCAGUGAAACUGAGGCAUCAAGAUACACAAGACAAGAAGGAUGCGCAGGGACUGUUCAACAAUGUAAUAGAAGAAACUGCAAGCAAGCUUGUGGAGUCUAGGAAAAGCAAGGUAAAAGCUUUGGUUGGUGCUUUUGAAACGGUGAUACUUCUCCAGGAUAGCAAUCCCACUACACCACAGGCAGGUAACUCACCACGACUUCUUGGCGAUUGCGGAAGCAAGCGCAUAUGUUCCUCUGCAUCGCCGGGCUGCCGUUCGAACGGCGAUUGA